rnacentral:rRNA from 1 species
UGCGUAGGUGGUGGGGUAAGUCUGAUGUGAAAUCUCCGAGCUUAACUCGGAAAUGGCAUUGGAAACUACUUCGCUUGAGGGUUAGAGGGGGACUGGAAUUCUCGGUGUAGCAGUGAAAUGCGUAGAUAUCGAGAGGAACACCGGUGGCGAAGGCGAGUCCCUGGACAACUCCUGACACUGAGGCACGAAAGCUAGGGGAAGCAAACA